rnacentral:lncRNA from 1 species
AGGGGGCGGGACUGCAGCGGCCCCGCGGCCGGGAGGGGGAAGCGACGACUCGGGGACGCAGCUUCCGAAUGAGGACCAAGACUCACGAAGUCUUCAUUAUCUGCUGGAUCUUGUAAUUUUCUCCAGAAGGAGUUUGGAGGCAGAAGGAGAAAGCAGCUUGCAGAAUCUGAAUGAUCUGUGACCACUUGGGAUCAAAAUGAAAGACAAGAAGAAAACAAAUGAAACCCCUGAGGCUGAGAUGAAC